rnacentral:misc_RNA from 1 species
GCUUUGUUGAUUGUGAUGAGAGUAAAUGUUGGAUAAUUCAGGCUGUGGUAAAGAAUUAGAGGGACGGUGAUAGGAGUCGUCACUGACACCCCUGUCUUGAUCAUUACUCCAUGAUGGUAAAGUGUCCUGAUUAUUUCUCCACGACUGUAAAGUGUGUGAAGCUUUGUUCUGAUCAACUAAUUCCUCAGGUUUGAGGUAUUGUUGUCUAAUUGGAUUAUUAUCAUCUUCAAAGUCAUCCUCAUAACCCGAGUACGCUUCUUCCUCAUCAUCAUCAACCCCAGCUGCUCGUGUUUCUAUAUGUGAUAUCACUUCCUCCUCCUUGCCCCAUUCUUUAGUCAUACGUGCCCCU